rnacentral:misc_RNA from 1 species
AUAUAAUCGUUUAAAUGUUAAGUGAAUUUAAUGUUAUUUAUCAUUUUGUAAACUCUAUUUAAGAAUAAAGUGAAAGUCAUUCCCAAGAACUGUUACAUAAGUUUUGGUAGACCUGAAAUCAUUUUGAUUGGUCAGCAGAAUACAGUCCAUCAUGGAGUAUGUCGGUACUACCAAAAGUGACGAAAAUGACAAAUGUUGUAAUCCAACUGUGUGCCCAGAAAUAGUAGCCAAUUCCAAGUCAGAUGAAAAUGCAUCGGAAAAAACAAAUGUAGUUAGAACGGAUGAAGAAAAUGCUAGUGUACAAAAAGAAGAAGAAGAAGAAGAACAAAAACAACAACAACAACAACAACAUACCGAAGAUGCAGCUGCUGCUACAACAUCGCAAAAUAUAUCAGAAGAAAAAAUAGACUUUAAAGUAAUCUACAACAAACAGAAGAUAAAUGUUAAUUUUGCAUUAGAUGGGACCGUGGCUGAAUUGAAAACGCACCUUCAAAAUAUUAUUUCAGUGCCCCAUGUAAUGCAGAAAGUUAUGUUUAAAGGAUUAGCCAAAGAUGAACAAACGCUUAGAAACUUGGGAGUUACAAAAGGUGCCAAAGUCAUGAUAGUAGGAUCAAAACUAGAUGACAUAUUAGCCGUAUCUAUUCCGUCAAAGCAAGACCUCGCUGAUGAAGCUAGUUCUGCUGCAAGUAAGGAACCUUUAUCGCAACAAAAAGUACACCGUAAAGUUCUAGAUAAAGGUAUGCCGGAUGAUGUCAUGCCUGGUAUUUUAGAUAGUAAGGAACCAUUACCUGAAUUUCCUAUCUCCGGAAUGUUGAAUAAAUCUGGCGGAAAAGUUAGGCUUACAUUUAAAUUGGAACAAGAUCAACUUUGGAUCGGUACAAAAGAAAGAACAGACAAACUACCUAUGAACUCAAUAAAAGGUGUCAUUAGCGAACCAAUAACUGAUCAUCCAGAGUAUCACAUUAUGGGUAUACAAUUAGGCACAACAGAAGCAUCAAGAUAUUGGAUAUACUGGGUUCCAGCACAAUACAUAUCAGCCAUCAAAGAUGCUAUUCUUGGAAAAUGGUGUUAUUUCUGAUCAAGUGCAAAUGGAAAUUUUGUUUUCUCGAAAAACAAUGUGUAAUCGAGUGUAAACAUUGACACAAAUACGAUUGUGCUAGUCACACACUUUUAACAGAAGGGGGGGAGUGAUACUGAAAUUAUUACGAUUGCGUUACGUCAAAUUUAUAAAUUGUCAUAAUUAAAAUGUGAAAAUUACGAAAAGAACAUUGUUUUUAUCUGGACGCUUUAACAGAAAAAAAUUGUAGUUAAACGAAUGAAUCAAUUGGAAAAUUUCAAAUUUUUCUGAUUAUUUAAAUACGGGCUUUUGAAAUGUAGAAUGAAAGUGAACAUUUUGUAAAAUUACAUUUGUAGGAAGAAGCGAAGAAAGAAGUUAUGAUGUUGCAUUUACUGACAUUUGAAGUUCGUCGAGAAAUAUUUCAUCUGAUUAAACAUAAUUGUGGAUAUUUUUUUGAAUCAAUUGUUUACUUAUUCAAAAUCAAUUUAUAAGACACAUUUGAAACAAUUUUACAAUUAAAAAGCAAGUUUUUCUUGUUUGCUUUAUACAUUAACCACAUUUAUAAAUUUUAUUACAUCACAGAGCAUCGUAUGAUAAUAAUUAAUAUAUAAUAUUGCAUCUCUAUUUAUCUCUCUUUCUGCGAUAAAAAUGAAAACUUACUGCUUUGUGAUAAUAAGCAAGAUAAUAAUAAAAACUCAAUAUUAAUGUACACUAACAUAAAAUAACAACGAAUUCCACUCUACCUUAAAUUACAAAAUAUACUCGAACUAUUUUCACAUUGGCCUAGGGAUAAAAAAAAAUGAUAUUGUAAAGAUGAAGAAAAAGAAAAAAAAAAAAAAGAAGAUGAAAUUAUAUAUCAAAUCCUUGCUGUCUUGAAAUCCAUACGGAUUGCAUCUCGACGAGCACAAAUAAAAGAUAUUAUGUAGCUUAUUUAGUAUUAUAACUCUUGUAAAUUAGGUUUUAUACCGUGUAAUAUGUGUAAUUUAAAUGGAAGUACUGACACGAUUAAAAAA